AUUAGGCAUGUUGGGGUGACUCAAAAACUAGUUUUUUCUCAUGAAUAGUGAUUCAAAACAUGCAUCAAAACCAGUUUUGGAAUCACUCCAACAUCUCA